rnacentral:rRNA from 1 species
GAGGAAGUAAAAGUCGUAACAAGGUCUCCGUUGGUGAACCAGCGGAGGGAUCAUUACCGAGUUUACAACUCCCAAACCCCUGUGAACAUACCUAUACGUUGCCUCGGCGGAUCAGCCCGCGCCCCGUAAAACGGGACGGCCCGCCCGAGGACCCUAAACUCUGUUUUUAGUGGAACUUCUGAGUAAAACAAACAAAUAAAUCAAAACUUUCAACAACGGAUCUCUUGGUUCUGGCAUCGAUGAAGAACGCAGCAAAAUGCGAUAAGUAAUGUGAAUUGCAGAAUUCAGUGAAUCACCGAAUCUUUGAACGCACAUUGCGCCCGCCAGUAUUCUGGCGGGCAUGCCUGUUCGAGCGUCAUUUCAACCCUCAAGCUCAGCUUGGUGUUGGGACUCGCGGUAACCCGCGUUCCCCAAAUCGAUUGGCGGUCACGUCAAGCUUCCAUAGCGUAGUAAUCAUACACCUCGUUACUGGUAAUCGUCGCGGCCACGCCGUUAAACCCCAACUUCUGAAUGUUGACCUCGGAUCAGGUAGGAAUACCCGCUGAACUUAAGCAUAUCAAUAAG